CUCUGUGACUCCUACGGGAGGCAGCAGUGGGGAAUAUGCACAAUGGGCGCAAGCCUGAUGCAGCCAUGCCGCGUGUAUGAAGAAGGCCUUCGGGUUGUAAAGUACUUUCAGCAGUGAGGAAGGUAGUGUAGUUAAUAGCUGCAUUAUUUGACGUUAGCUGCAGAAGAAGCACCGGCUAACUCCGUGCCAGCAGCCGCGGUAAUACGGAGGGUGCGAGCGUUAAUCGGAAUUACUGGGCGUAAAAGCGCAUGCAGGUGGUUUGUUAAGUCAGAUGUGAAAGCCCGGGGCUCAACCUCGGAACUGCAUUUGAAACUGGCAGACUAGAGUACUGUAGAGGGGGUAGAAUUUCAGGUGUAGCGGUGAAAAUGCGUAGAGAUCUGAAGGAAUACCGGUGGCGAAGGCGGCCCCCUGGACAGAUACUGACACUCAGAUGCGAAAGCGUGGGGAGCAAACAGGAUUAGAUACCCUUGGAA
rnacentral:rRNA from 1 species